rnacentral:rRNA from 1 species
GAUGAACGCUGGCGGCGUGCCUAAUACAUGCAAGUCGAGCGAACGGACGAGAAGCUUGCUUCUCUGAUGUUAGCGGCGGACGGGUGAGUAACACGUGGAUAACCUACCUAUAAGACUGGGAUAACUUCGGGAAACCGGAGCUAAUACCGGAUAAUAUUUUGAACCGCAUGGUUCAAAAGUGAAAGACGGUCUUGCUGUCACUUAUAGAUGGAUCCGCGCUGCAUUAGCUAGUUGGUAAGGUAACGGCUUACCAAGGCAACGAUGCAUAGCCGACCUGAGAGGGUGAUCGGCCACACUGGAACUGAGACACGGUCCAGACUCCUACGGGAGGCAGCAGUAGGGAAUCUUCCGCAAUGGGCGAAAGCCUGACGGAGCAACGCCGCGUGAGUGAUGAAGGUCUUCGGAUCGUAAAACUCUGUUAUUAGGGAAGAACAUAUGUGUAAGUAACUGUGCACAUCUUGACGGUACCUAAUCAGAAAGCCACGGCUAACUACGUGCCAGCAGCCGCGGUAAUACGUAGGUGGCAAGCGUUAUCCGGAAUUAUUGGGCGUAAAGCGCGCGUAGGCGGUUUUUUAAGUCUGAUGUGAAAGCCCACGGCUCAACCGUGGAGGGUCAUUGGAAACUGGAAAACUUGAGUGCAGAAGAGGAAAGUGGAAUUCCAUGUGUAGCGGUGAAAUGCGCAGAGAUAUGGAGGAACACCAGUGGCGAAGGCGACUUUCUGGUCUGUAACUGACGCUGAUGUGCGAAAGCGUGGGGAUCAAACAGGAUUAGAUACCCUGGUAGUCCACGCCGUAAACGAUGAGUGCUAAGUGUUAGGGGGUUUCCGCCCCUUAGUGCUGCAGCUAACGCAUUAAGCACUCCGCCUGGGGAGUACGACCGCAAGGUUGAAACUCAAAGGAAUUGACGGGGACCCGCACAAGCGGUGGAGCAUGUGGUUUAAUUCGAAGCAACGCGAAGAACCUUACCAAAUCUUGACAUCCUUUGACAACUCUAGAGAUAGAGCCUUCCCCUUCGGGGGACAAAGUGACAGGUGGUGCAUGGUUGUCGUCAGCUCGUGUCGUGAGAUGCUGGGUUAAGUCCCGCAACGAGCGCAACCCUUAAGCUUAGUUGCCAUCAUUAAGUUGGGCACUCUAAGUUGACUGCCGGUGACAAACCGGAGGAAGGUGGGGAUGACGUCAAAUCAUCAUGCCCCUUAUGAUUUGGGCUACACACGUGCUACAAUGGACAAUACAAAGGGCAGCGAAACCGCGAGGUCAAGCAAAUCCCAUAAAGUUGUUCUCAGUUCGGAUUGUAGUCUGCAACUCGACUACAUGAAGCUGGAAUCGCUAGUAAUCGUAGAUCAGCAUGCUACGGUGAAUACGUUCCCGGGUCU